UACGAAGGGGGCUAGCGUUGUUCGGAAUUACUGGGCGUAAAGCGCACGUAGGCGGACUUUUAAGUCAGGUGUGAAAUCCCGGGGCUCAACCUCGGAACUGCAUUUGAAACUGGAAGUCUUGAGAUCAGGAGAGGUUAGCGGAAUACCGAGUGUAGAGGUGAAAUUCGUAGAUAUUCGGUGGAACACCAGUGGCGAAGGCGGCUAACUGGACUGAUACUGACGCUGAGGUGCGAAAGUGUGGGGAGCAAAC
rnacentral:rRNA from 2 species